AUUAGAAUAUUUUUGGAAAUCUGCUCAACCUCUGACACAUUGAGCUGGGACCGCCUGCAGGAUUAUGUUGGAAAAGAGGAGGAUUUCUCUGACCAUCAGCUCUGUGGACAGGGGAGGAAAUCCAGUUUGGACCAAGAGGAAUCUGAACAUCCGCAGAUAAAAGAAGAGCAUCAAAAGCCAGAACAUCCCUGUAUAAAAGAGGAAACCAUGGAGCUCCCCAUAAGUGAGCAAAAAGAACAGCUUGUUCUUAAGCAGACGAUUAAAGAUACAAGAGAGAAUCCUUUCCCAUGUUUGACAUGUGGAGAAAACUUUCUUAAAAAAAAGCAUUUAAUGGUUCACAUGAGAACUCACAAAGGUGAGAAGUUUUAUUGUCUGUCCUGUGGAAAAUUUUUCUCAAAGAAAUCUAGACUUGAUAAACAUAUGAUAAUUCACACAGGUGAGAAGCCUUUUUCCUGUACCAUUUGUAACAAGAAUUUUACUGGAAAGAGUAAUUUGACUUCUCACAUGAGAAUUCACACAGGUGAGAAGCCUUUUGAAUGUCUGUCCUGUGGAAAAAGUUUCACUCAGAAAUCUAAUCUUGAUACACACAUGAGAUUUCACACAGGUGAGAAGCCUUUUGAAUGUCUGUCCUGUGGAAAAAGCUUCACUCAGAAAUCUAGUCUUGAUACACACAUGAGAUUUCACACAGGUGAGAAGCCUUUUGAAUGUCUGUCCUGUGGAAAAAGCUUCACUCAGAAAUCUAAUCUUGA